rnacentral:lncRNA from 1 species
UACCUCAGCCUCCUGAGUUGCUGGGCUUACAGGCAAGUGUCCGGCUGCUCCUAACUUGUUGGUUUAUCUUUCCUGCUUCCGCAUCAGAAGUGCUGACUAUGAUGUCUUUUUUUAAAAUAGCCGCCUACUGAAGUUGAUGUGGUCUGGCUUUCUGAUAGGACCAGAAGUCAAAACCAUUAUCUUUUCAGCCUGGUGAGCUCUUGUAGUCUAACAGUAUCUGUCACCAUGCUCCAUGGUAAAGCACUUGUCUAGCUUGUAUCAGGCCCUGGGCUUACUGCCCAACACCCAGAAAAACAUCCCCAAAAUGCAACAAGUCCACAAACAUCAUUAACUUUUCCAUAAGCCAACACUUUCAUCAUGAGAAAAUAUCCUGAAACCUAGACUGAUAUUGUAUUUGUGGUGUCAUGUUUUGUUGUACUUGGCCUGUUUCGUUGGCAUCAAUACAACGAGAGGUGCUGAGCAGGAGCCUGUGUAUGCUGCUGCCAUAAACAGUGAGGGACGUAGUAAACGCACUGUGUACUUAACUCCUGUUUAUUGUUCUAAGUGCUGAAAUCAAUCAAAGGGUGACAUCUUUUCUAAAUAAUCAUUAUUCUUUGAGUUUCCUUGACAAUUUUUCAAAUCUCUUUUUUUACUUAACUAUAGUGCACUGAUUAUAAAAUUAAUGAGUUUCAUUGUGACCCUUUCAUGCUUGUGUAGAAUGUGCUCUGAUUGCACCCACCCUCCCUAGCACCCUCACUUACCACUCCCCUCCCAGGGUCUCGGGAAAGUUCAAUCCAUCAAAACUUUCUCAGGUUUCCCCUGAAAUAUCAACUGAAAUUAUCAACUGAAAGUGUGUUAAACAGAGAGAUGAAGACAGAUGAAGGGGCCAACCGACAUGAACGUGA